rfam:Globodera pallida, Lindley, WGS project CBXT01000000 data, contig: pathogens_Gpal_scaffold_765_contig_7
UAUCCCUGGUCCCUCUGUAUUCGGACGAUGAAAUCUUUCGCCUUUUACUAAAGGUUUCCGUGCAGGGGGACGCUUAUGGGUUUACCCUAAUUUUUGGAAGCGCCUUCUCCAGUGAGGGCGC